UCUGAAUCGAGGAAAAGGCGGUACCCCCAAAAUGGCGGGAAAAGCGGCCGUGAGAAAGCUAGUUAGACGCAAGCACUCCCAGCGAGCUUGCAAAUUGGUUUUCGCCAAGUGUAGCAAAGAACCUUAUAAAAUAUAUUAGGAACAUUUCAAACAUCGUUUUCAUGUGCCGCAUCUAAUGGUAUAUAAUUUGUUAAGUUCAAUGCUUGAAACAGGCCUUAUUCAUGUUUUGCAUGUUGGUUUGCAUGCAACUUCAUGUACACGUUUAGGCGUAU